rnacentral:rRNA from 1 species
UCGAGAAUCAUUCACAAUGGGCGAAAGCCUGAUGGUGCGACGCCGCGUGGAGGAUGACGAUCUUAGGAUUGUAAACUCCUGUCAUCAGGGAGUAACGCUCUGGCGUUAAUAGCGUCAUGAGCUUGAUAGUACCUGAAGAGGAAGGGGCGGCUAACUCCGUGCCAGCAGCCGCGGUAACACGGAGGCCCCGAGCGUUGUUCGGAAUUACUGGGCGUAAAGAGUGCGUAGGCGGCGAGGCAAGUCAGAUGUG